rnacentral:rRNA from 1 species
GUUGAACGCUGGCGGCGUGCCUUACACAUGCAAGUCGAACGACAACACGGGUGGCUGCACCCUUUGACGAUUGCGGCAGGGGUGUGAAAUACAUCUGAGUAUCCCCCCUAGAGGGCUAUGGCCCGUCGGAAGCAGCGUUACUACCACAGACUAACUACGCAUGAAAGCGGGGUAGCUACUGACCUCUGGCUUUGCUGUCUGUCGAUGGCUGAUUAGCUAGUUGGUGGGGUAAAGGCCUACCAAGGCGACGAUCAGUAGCUGGUCUGAGAGGACGACCAGCCACACUGGGACUGAGACACGGCCCAGACUCCUACGGGAGGCAGCAGUGGGGAAUUUUGGACAAUGGGCGAAAGCCUGAUCCAGCAAUGCCGCGUGUGUGAAGAAGGCCUUCGGGUUGUAAAGCACUUUUGUCAGGAAAGAAAUACUUGGCCAUAAUACGGUCGGGGGAUGACGGUACCGGAAGAAUAAGCCCCAGCUAACUACGUG